rnacentral:rRNA from 1 species
CUACGAGAGUAGUUAGUAGUAUGGCUCAGGAUGAACGCUAGCUACAGGCUUAACACAUAGCAAGUCGAGGGCAUCAUUCGAAGCUUGCUUUGAAGAUGGCGACCGGCGCACGGGUGAGUAACGCGUAUCCAACCUUCCCCUUAGUAGGGCAUAGCCCGGCGAAAGUCGGAUUAAUACCCUAUGUUCUUUACGGAUGGCAUCUGAAGUAAAGCAAAGAUUUAUCGCUAAGGGAUGGGGAUGCGUCUGAUUAGGUUGUUGGCGGGGUAACGGCCCACCAAGCCUACGAUCAGUAGGGGUUCUGAGAGGAAGGUCCCCCACAUUGGUACUGAGACACGGACCAAACUCCUACGGGAGGCAGCAGCGAGGAAUAUUGGUCAAUGGGCGAGAGCCUGAACCAGCCAAGUAGCGUGCCAGGAUGACGGCCCUAUGGGUUGUAAACUGCUUUUGUCAGGGGAUAAAAAAGAGAACGUGUUCUCUAUUGCAUGUACCUGAAGAAUAAGGACCGGCUAAUUCCGUGCCAGCAGCGGC